UUGGGUUGGCCAAAAAUUUUGUUUGGGUUUUUCCUUAACAUCUUAUGGAAAAAAAACCUGAACAAAGGUUUUGGCUAACCCAG
rnacentral:miRNA from 1 species